GUGCUUCCUUCGGCAGCACAUACACUAAAAAUGGAAUGAUACUGAGAAGAUUAGCAUGGCCCCUGCACAAGGAUGUCAUGCAAAUUCAUGAAGCAUUCCAUAAUUUU